rnacentral:rRNA from 1 species
GAUGAACGCUGGCGGCGUGCCUAAUACAUGCAAGUCGAGCGAACGGACGAGAAGCUUGCUUCUCUGAUGUUAGCGGCGGACGGGUGAGUAACACGUGGAUAACCUACCUAUAAGACUGGGAUAACUUCGGGAAGCCGGAGCUAAUACCGGAUAAUAUUUUGAACCGCAUGGUUCAAAAGUGAAAGACGGUCUUGCUGUCACUUAUAGAUGGAUCCGCGCUGCAUUAGCUAGUUGGUAAGGUAACGGCUUACCAAGGCAACGAUGCAUAGCCGACCUGAGAGGGUGAUCGGCCACACUGGAACUGAGACACGGUCCAGACUCCUACGGGAGGCAGCAGUAGGGAAUCUUCCGCAAUGGGCGAAAGCCUGACGGGGCAACGCCGCGUGAGUGAUGAAGGUCUUCGGAUCGUAAAACUCUGUUAUUAGGGAAGAACAUAUGUGUAAGUAACUGUGAACAUCUUGACGGUACCUAAUCAGAAAGCCACGGCUAACUACGUG